CCAGGAGAUUUACAGCUCUGCGGCCAAUCGCAGGACGAGCUCGUUUCGCUAUUUCGCAUAACGAAACAAAGGAAGACCCAAUCACAGCCCAGGAUCUUGGAGGGGCCGGUCUGUUGACAGGAAGCGUGUGGGGUGGAAUCACCACAGCCUAUCUGUGCUUGUAGUGGAGCCUGACAAACAGAGGAUCUCACAGCCGUUCAUCUUUCAGACGUGUGUGGACUUAAAUUAUGCGUUUAAAGACCCAGCCGGGGCAAAUAUGCAAUGGAGGUCAAUAGUGGUUGGUCUGGUCGUAUUGAGACUCUCUCUCAGCUGUGUGCUGUGGCUAGCUUUCGGACUCGGACCUAAAGUUAGCUUGGGGUUCAACUUCCCACUUAGUUUCAGUUUGCACAAAUUAGACUCAUUAUUCAAGGACGAAAAGGGGACCGAUCCGGUGGGUAACUCGUGGUCUCAAAGAAUACCCGGCCACAGACAUGAAGAGGCGGCGACCACCUAUGCAAAGGUUGGAGAGGAGUCCCCCAAGAGAUCCUCCUACCUGAGCUUCUUCGAUGGCAACAAGGACGAGUACGUCCGGAAAUACAGCUCCUUCCCGGAUGCACUUAAAGCCAAAAUGAAGGACAUGGCCAAAGAAAUGUUUUAUUUCGGGUAUGACAACUACAUGAAAUAUGCCUUUCCCGAGGACGAACUGAAUCCCAUUGACUGUGAAGGGAGGGGACCAGACGUGCUAAACCCGUCAAACAUCAACAUAAACGACGUCCUGGGGAACUACUCCCUGACCUUGAUUGACACCUUAGACACCUUACUGGUGCUUGGCAAUGUGACCGAGUUCCACAAGGCUGUCAAACUGGUUAUAGAUACUGUGUCUUUUGACAAGGACUCUACAGUGCAAGUGUUUGAGGCAAACAUCAGGAUCCUGGGAGGCCUGAUCUCAUCUCACAUCCUGCUGACGGACCCGAAACAUCCAUUCGGCAAGGUCGGCUUUGAUGAUUACGAUAAUGAGCUGCUUCACUUGGCUCAUGACUUGGCUGUCCGCUUACUACCGGCCUUUGAGAACACCAGCACAGGCAUCCCUUACCCCAGGGUGAACCUGAAGACUGGAGUUCCUCCUGAUAGCAUCAAUGAGACUUGUACGGCGGGAGCUGGGUCCCUGCUGGUGGAGUUUGGGAUUUUGAGCCGCUUGAUUGGAGAUUCGACAUUUGAGUGGGUGGCCAGGCGAGCUGUUAGAGCUCUGUGGAACCUGCGGAGCAACGAAACCGGUCUGUUGGGGAAUGUAGUUAAUAUCCAAACAGGCCAGUGGGUUGGCAAACAGAGCGGUCUGGGAGCUGGUAUGGACUCCUUCUAUGAGUAUUUGCUGAAAUCGUACAUCCUAUUUGGUGAGAACGAGGACCACAGGAUGUUCCAAGCUGCCUAUGAGAGCAUUCAGAACCACAUGAGGAGAGGGAGAGAGUCAUGUAAUGAAGGAGAGGGGGACCCACCCCUUUAUGUUAAUGUGAACAUGUUCAGUGGUGAAAUAAUGAACACCUGGAUCGACUCCCUUCAGGCCUUCUUUCCUGGCCUGCAGGUGCUGAAUGGGGAUGUCGAUAAUGCAAUUUGCCUGCACGCCUUCUACUAUGCCAUCUGGAAGCGCUUUGGGGCUUUGCCAGAGAGAUACAACUGGCAGCUGCAGGCUCCUGACGUGCUCUUCUACCCCUUGAGACCCGAGCUGGCUGAGUCAACAUAUCUGCUGUACCAGGCGACCAAAAAUCCUUUCUAUUUGCAUGUUGGAAUGGAUAUUCUUCAGAGCCUUGAAAAAAAUACCAAAGUCAGAUGUGGGUACGCCACUCUCCACCACGUCGUGGACAAAUCCAAAGAGGAUCGCAUGGAGAGCUUCUUCCUCAGUGAGACCUGCAAAUACCUUUACUUAGUAGCUGUUUGAUGAGGACAACCCACUUCACAAAUCCGACAACAAGUACAUCUUCACUACAGAGGGCCAUGUUGUGCCGGUAGAUAAGCGCUUCAGGGAGAAACAGUGGAACGACUUUCCCUGUGAAGAGGGAGUGCUGGCAGAACUAGAGCCAAACAACCGGCCACCACCAAGCAACGCCAGCAAUUGCAACAGGAUCCCAGAGGAGCGACGGUACACUCUACCAUUGAAGAGUGUCUACAUGAGGCAGAUCGAUCACAUGGUGGGCCUUUUCUGAGUUGGAGGAUGCAUGAGCAGGCCUUCAGCCCUCCACUCCCCCAGGUGUGGAUGCUGUGAGGUCAAAAAAAGAAUCCACUGUCAAAAUCCUCCUCCCAUCUGUUCCGCUGCUCCGGAUCCAGACAGGAAACUGACACUAAAGGAAACGUGAGAAAGCAGCUGGACCACUUGCUGUAUUACUUAAAACUUACUGUGUGUGUGUGUGUGUGUGUGUGAGCAUGUGGUCGACAAAGGUGAACAGCUUUUGUGCUGUAAAAUUAGGAGUCAUGCUUCCUUACGUUUGCCUGGUGACGAAUUGAGAUUGUGCAAGUGGAUUUUAGAUUGUGUGCGUGUGUGUGCGUGUGUGUGUGUGUGUGUGUGUGUGUGCGCGCGUGUGUGGCUUUUUGUUAUUACAGCUGAGCUGUGAAUCAGUGCCAUCUAGCCACACAUGUACAACGUAUAGCCUACACAAACAACAUCUCUCUUGAAACAUGAUGACUAGUGCCUCUUUGCAGUGGAUUCACUUGACUAUAUCAGUGCUUUUUAAAUAAGGGCUGCACAUUAACAAACAUUGACAGUGGGGAAAUAGGCUCAGGAUGACUCGCUGUUUUAAAGUGCCUUAAAUGUUUUCUUAAUCUGGAUGCGGAACAGUGCAUAUUAUUUCUGGAUGAAAAUUUUAUUUUUUGAGGCCAUUGUCGGUAUUGCACAUAGAUGUCAUUCCAUGUGUAUGUAUUGUUUUACACUGAUUAUGACAUUAAGUUCCUUCUUUUUUUUAAUUUUAUUUUUACACAAAUUAAGCCAUAAAAUGUAUUUUUUAUGUUAAUGCGCAAACACGUGUUUGUUUCCCAUCAUUUGUCUGUCAGGUGUAUUAGGACACAGUCUCUCCUUCAUAGUUUAUUAUUGUUUGGAGUAGAUGGGAGUUUCCAUUUGCUGUUUCUUUGUUUCUCUGUCACUUAAUUGUACAUCAUCAUACCCAUUAAUUGCCAUGUGGUGAGAACUCAGGGUUAAAAGGAAAAACUCAAAUCAAUGAAUGCUUUCAUGUUGUUGCCGACAAUGUUUUAGGAUGGUUUACGGUAAUUAUAUUGCAAAUCUUCCAACUUGGUUAUCUGAGGUCAACAAAUAACCUCACUGAACUGAAGUACAGUUGUACUGUGAAUAUUCAUGAUUGUUCCAAACAUACAGAAACCUGUGUGAUGUCUUCUGAACUUGAUUUGUGUACAGCUCUACUGAAGCAUCUCUUCUGGGCUGGUUCAUAUGUUACCAAACAACCGGAGUGUCUAUAAGGCGCAGCAGAGCUUCAGGCUGCAUGGCUCGAUUACAUCACAGCAUCGGCAUCUUCUUUGGCUUUAGGAGACAGCUGUUCAUAUUGUCAAGUUUUGUCUGAACUGCUCCAGGCCACAGGAAUGAUUUCUCAGCAUUUUUAAUUUGGCUGAAACAACCCCGACCGCUCUGUCUCAGAUUAUCUUCAAAGAAACAGUGGGACAUUUUGGGAUUAUGCUUUCUUGCUAGGAGCUAGACGAAAUGGUCGCUUCCACUUUGUGCCAUUUUGGGACCCGUUAUCGUCUUGCAUGCAGAAUGUACCUGACAGACAUGAAAUAAGUAUCAAUCUUCUCACAUGACCUUGGGCAAGAAAGCGUGUAUUUCCCAAAAUGUCAAAUUAUGCCUUUAAUUUGUCUGAAAUUGAAGGUAAAGGCUGUUUACUUUUACUUGGUUUCAUAAUGCAAACAUUAAAUAACAGAUUAUGAUCAA